ACAAGCAUCGGACGCGUCCUGCGGUGAAGCGAGCGCUCGCUGCUUCCUCGUGGCUGCUGCCGCCGCUGCUGCACUCCCGGCUCCCGCCGCAGCCGCCUCCUCACGACGCUGUCCCACUUUCUCAGUAGUGCGCGCCAGUGAAGACGAAAAAGGAAGGGGAGAAGACGGGGGCGACGGAAACUUUGCCUCCCGGGCUCGCGCCUGCAGAUAGGACAACGAGGACGCCGGUUAAAGGAGUCAAACGCCGAUAUCCCAGAAGAAGCAAGGCACUACAAACUCGACCUUCCUGCGUGGUUUCUGCAGGGACUGUAUUUAUGUGCCAAAAGGAUUGAGUCAACUGUGCAUCGCUUUCAGGUUUACUGCGCGAGUGGGUGUGAGCGAAAGUGACAAAAGGAGACGCAAGUCGCGUCUACACGACCAUGCCCGUUCAUUCCGUGCGAUAUCGCGUCGCGACGCGUUCUCUCUGACGCACGUGUGAACAGCGUUUGAACGCUUACACGACCGUGCUGGACACGGGCUUGCACGUCGAGCCUGUCCGCUCACUCGUUCCUCCGAAACUGCGAGUUCUCAGUGUAUUGCGCCGUUGUGACUUAUCGGACCAGGCACAUUCGAGUUCCCGAUGAACUUACCCGCUGGCCCGGCAUGAGCCCUCCGAGGAAAAGCUGUGCCAGAGCCGGCCUGCACCGCAGCCCGUUCGGGAUGCGUGGUUGCUGGUACUCCCUCUGCCUCACCAUGUCGUUCGCUUUCUCAGAGAUCACGGCGGAGUUUCUCCUUUCCUCGGAAUACACCACCUCAGAUUCAUCGCGGCAUCUCUCGUCUUCGGCCAUGCUGACGCCGGCUGUCCGGCUGACGACACUGACCGCCACCGAAGACGGAGGCGGCGACGCAACCUCCGAGAGCCUCCGACAACGCAAGGCUGUGGCGGACGAGAGCGAGGCUCGACUUGGCGACGACAUGUGGCCUCCCACGAGUCGCCUGUUCCCAUCCUUUGACAACAGCACGGAGCGCAAUGUCACGUCGCAGCUGGGACAGACCGCCUACCUCCACUGCAUCGUCAACAACCUCGGCGAUAAGACGGUGCUGUGGAUACGCAGACGGGACUACAACGUGCUUACCGUAGGCCUAGACACAUACACGGCUGACGACCGCUUUCAGGCGGUUCACCUGGAGCGUUCUUCCGACUGGGCGCUGCAAGUUCGCUACGUGCAGCUUUCGGACCAGGGUCUUUACGAAUGCCAAGUCUCCUCAGAUCCAAAGAUCAGCUAUUUCGUCAACCUCACUGUCCUGGUGGCAAAAGCCGUCAUCGAAGGUGGUCCAGACCUCUUCAUCCGCACGGGCAGCUCCAUCAACCUGACCUGCGAGAUAAGCCGGAGCCCUGAGCCACCGCAUUUUGUGUUCUGGUACCACAAUGACCGCAUGAUCAACUACGUGUCAGCCAAAGGAGAGAUCACUCUGCACAAAGGUGGCCCCGACAGGACCAUCAGCCGACUGUACAUCCGCAAGGCUGUCUCACUCGACUCGGGAAACUAUACCUGCGACCCGGCCAACGCCGAGCCCGUAUCCAUCAGCGUCCACGUCGUGAACGGCGAGAAGCCAGCGGCAAUGCAGCAUGACGGGAAGCCUCUCUCGUCGUCGAGCCCUCCGGAAGUAGCAACGGUGCUCACUGAGUUCGGUGUCCUCCUUGCCCUCUGCCUCGCCGCUGCGUGUGCCAGGCUGAGGUAACAGAGUUCGGCCUUCUUUGCCCACCGAGCGUCGGAGCCACAGCGUCGACAGCGCGCGAAACAAUCGUCCACAAAAGCUUGUUCUUGUGAAGCGAACACUGCGAUCCUCUGAAUCGAAAGUGACAUCCACGGAGAAUACACGGAUGAUUACACACUAAGGACUGCCUGUCAGGGGACAUUGUCAACAAGGCGACAGAGACUCGUGAGAAACACUCGUGCACAUCACUCAUCGCUGAUGUUUUUUUCUUCGCAGUUGCUAUCUCGUUUGUUUUUUCUUUAUUUUUUUUUCCUUGUCACUUGAUGGCUUGUUUUCUUUGAACUUUGCCGCGACGGUGCAAGUGACUCAAAUGACUGUUCGUGAUACUCGAUGUAUGUUACACAGAAGUUAAGCUUGAGAACUAUAAUAGUGUAUAAUAGAAAAAAAUCAACAACGUAGAAGAGGCCAACUAGCGCAUACAACAUGCUAAAACGGACGACGUGCAGUGACAGUUCAGCAAAAUCGACACAGGAAAGAUCUGCAGUCGAGGAACUCCAAACUUGAAGCCCGCGGCAACUUGUGGACCUGAACAAAACACAGCAUUCCAAUAUUCCUUGAGACCUACAUUCAGCCACUACUUCAAUGGUGCAUUGGUCCUCUUUGUCACGCUCAUCAGGAAACCAUCUCAAAUAUCUGAGCCCCAUUUACUCCAACGGGGCACGUGGUUCUUUGAUUUUCGGUUUCUUGCGACACAUGUGAGCAUCGCAGCGUUGUAAAUGUAGUUCAGAUGCAGCUUUUGUAUAUGCUGUUUAAGUGGCCACUGAUGUGCGCAGCAGCCAACAAUAAUAAGCGCACGAAAAUAAUAAAUCUCGUGCACUUACAUUGUCGGCGAAGGUCGCACGUGAAGCGGGCUAAUGUGCCUGCCAUGUUGUUACGGGUUGUAAUGCUGUUUGAAAAGCACUCUAUCGCUCUGCAUGUAUCGUUAACCUAGGUAUAUUUUACCGUGGUAUGACAUUUUUGUUAAAAAUGUUUUUGCUCGCGAAAACUAAAUGGCAGAAAUUAAUAGCAAACAAUUAAAGUGUGUAACGUUGCUUGCGCUAGAUGUUUGAAGCAACACAAAUUGUACAUAUUAAACCGUAUGCUUUUUGGGCACAUUGACAGACUCAUUCAUGACGAGAUAAAAGGGAAUGCACUGUAAUAAGCGUAACACGAAACUCCAGAGCUUUGUAAAUAUCAGCGGCAAGUCUUAGUUGCAUCUUCAAUGCAGCCAGCUUGCUAAACUUUCUUCGGGAAAAAAUUCUAGUCGGUGUAAGAAAACUAACGCAUGUAAAACGAAGUAAGUAAUAAGUGCACGUGCUCAACAGUAUUAAGUUAUUUCAAGUGAAUAUAAAUUUGUUUUAAUCAAAAGCCUCCACGAAGAAAUUUUAAUGGGAGUUUUAUACUUAUAGUGUGAGAAAAAAAUGACACAUAUAUGCUCAACAUUAUUGGAAUUUGUUCUGCUGUUUCGAAUCGCCCGAGUACUCAAUCAUGUAUGUGUGGCCACAUUUCAACUUACAGAGUCAAGUUGGUUA